rnacentral:rRNA from 1 species
CCUACGGGAGGCUGCAGUGGGGAAUAUUGGACAAUGGGCGAAAGCCUGAUCCAGCCAUGCCGCGUGUGUGAAGAAGGCCUUCGGGUUGUAAAGCACUUUCAGUGGGGAAGAAAGCCUUGGGGCUAAUACCCUCGAGGAAGGACAUCACCCACAGAAGAAGCACCGGCUAACUCCGUGCUAGCAGCCGCGGUAAUACGGAGGGUGCGAGCGUUAAUCGGAAUUACUGGGCGUAAAGCGCGCGUAGGCGGUCUGAUAAGCCGGUUGUGAAAGCCCCGGGCUCAACCUGGGAACGGCAUCCGGAACUGUCAGGCUAGAGUGCAGGAGAGGAAGGUAGAAUUCCCGGUGUAGCGGUGAAAUGCGUAGAGAUCGGGAGGAAUACCAGUGGCGAAGGCGGCCUUCUGGACUGACACUGACGCUGAGGUGCGAAAGCGUGGGUAGCAAACAGGAUUAGAUACCCCGGUAGUC